UACGGAGGGUGCAAGCGUUAUCCGGAUUCACUGGGUUUAAAGGGUGCGUAGGUGGAUUAGUAAGUCAGUGGUGAAAUCCCCGGGCUUAACCUGGGAACUGCAUUUGUGACUGCAUGGCUGGAGUGCGGCAGAGGGGGAUGGAAUUCCGCGUGUAGCAGUGAAAUGCGCAGAUAUCAGGAAGAACACCCGUGGCGAAGGCGGCUCUCUGGGACGGUACUGACGCUGAGACGCGAAAGCGUGGGGAGCGAACAGG
rnacentral:rRNA from 1 species